UCGCGGCCUAUCAGCUUGUUGGUGGGGUAAUGGCCUACCAAGGCUUUGACGGGUAGCCGGCCUGAGAGGGCGACCGGCCACACUGGGACUGAGAUACGGCCCAGACUCCUACGGGAGGCAGCAGUGGGGAAUAUUGCACAAUGGACGGAAGUCUGAUGCAGCAACGCCGCGUGCGGGAUGACGGCCUUCGGGUUGUAAACCGCUUUCACCAGGGGCGAAUUUGACGGUACCUGGAGAAGAAGCACCGGCUAACUACGUGCCAGCAGCCGCGGUGAUACGUAGGGUGCGAGCGUUGUCCGGAUUUAUUGGGCGUAAAGAGCUCGUAGGUGGUUUGUUGCGUCGGGAGUGAAAACACGCAGCUCAACUGUGUGCUUGCUUUCGAUACGGGCAGACUUGAGGGAUGCAGGGGAGAACGGAAUUCCUGGUGGAGCGGUGGAAUGCGCAGAUAUCAGGAGGAACACCGGUGGCGAAGGCGGUUCUCUGGACAUUUCCUGACGCUGAGGAGCGAAAGCGUGGGGAGCAAACAGGCUUAGAUACCCUGGUAGUCCACGCCGUAAACGGUGGGCACUAGGUGUGGGGGACUUCCACGUUCUCCGUGCCGUAGCUAACGCAUUAAGUGCCCCGCCUGGGGAGUACGG
rnacentral:rRNA from 1 species